rnacentral:rRNA from 1 species
UCGAGAAUAGUCUACAAUGGUCGAAAGACUGAUAGUGCGACGCCGCGUGAACGAAGAAUCCCUUCGGGGUGUAAAGUUCUUUUUUAAUCGAGCAAUGCCUUUUAUGUGAACAGCAUGAGAAGAGAGAUAUUAGCAUAUGAAUAAGCAACGGCUGACUCCGUGCCAGCAGCCGCGGUAACACGGGGGUUGCUAGCGUUGUCCGGAAUUACUAGGCGUAAAGGGCAGGUAGGCGGAUAGAUAAGUUUGAUGUUUAAGGCAGCGGCUCACCCGCUGUAAGGCAUUAGAUACUGUUUAUCUGGAAUGCGGUUGGGGAAGACAGAAUUCCUGGUGUAGCGGUGGAAUGCGCAGAGAUCAGGAGGAAUACAGAAGGCGAAGGCAGUCUUCUAAGCCGUAAUUGACGCUAAACUGCGAAGGUGUGGGUAUCAAACA